rnacentral:rRNA from 1 species
UACAGAGGUCUCAAGCGUUGUUCGGAUUCAUUGGGCGUAAAGGGUGUGUAGGUGGCGCGCUAAGUCGGGUGUGAAAUUUCGGAGCUUAACUCCGAACUGCAUUCGAUACUGGCGUGCUUGAGGACUGGAGAGGAGACUGGAAUUCAUGGUGUAGCAGUGAAAUGCGUAGAGAUCAUGAGGAAGACCAGUGGCGAAGGCGGGUCUCUGGACAGUUCCUGACACUGAGACACGAAGGCCAGGGAGCAAACGGG